CCUAAACUGCUAAUUUCAUGGAUGAAAGAAAAAUGGACCGUGAGCUCUCAAUUCCAUUACAAAUUAUCUUGGAGAUACUCAAGGAACUUCCUGUAAAAAGUUUGCUGAGAUUCAGGUGUGUUUCAAAGCUUUGGUGUUCCACAAUUGACGAUCCCAUUUUCAUCGACACUCAUCAAACUCGUUCACAUACUCGGCCUCACGGUACGAACACCCUCGCUCUGGUUUCGGAUUCACAGUUUGAUCAGAACACAAGUUAUGAUCUCUACUCUGCAGAUCCAGAAGGAGGACCAGCCACUCACCUUCUCGCACUGCCUGAGGUGCCGUUUGAGGCAAAACGAAGCCCACGACGAGCUCUACACAUCCAUACCAUCAAUUUCAGUUUUUGUGCACCCUUUGGAUUUUGAAAUUCAAGACCUAUUUCAAGGGUUUUGUGCAAUCUUGAGGUCUUGGAAAUGAACCGGUGGACGACAAUCCACCUCAAGCUUGAAAGUUGUUAGAAGGUUGUUUGCUAUUUUGUAUUUUCUAUGUAUACUCAUAGUUGUGGAAAUGUAACUAAGUUAGUAUUCAUGGCCUUGUAACUUAAGAACGAAUUUAUCUUUUGUUUAAUGUAAAUGAAACUAAUGGAAUUGUGGUAUAUAUUUCCAUGCAAUUGUAUCAUGUAACGUUAUAAGAUAGGGACUUUAGAUCUUAACUAUGUAUUUUGGGACUGUAAUUAUGACAAGUUAGACUAAUUGGUGUGUGAAUGUUUCACCAUGAGAGGAACUAUGUUGAGGUAUAAUGAACGGAUGAAUGGGAUGCUGGAUUGUACUAUGUGUUUUGUGUAUUGGGACAGGUUGUUGAAGGACCAUUUUUAGGGGAGGUUAUGCUGAAAUUUUUUUAAAUUUUGGCAUCAGCUUGGGUUGUUACAUGCAGGGGAUGUAACUAAGAGAUUGUUGAACAUUUUGAUUGGCAUAAAUAAGUUCUAAUUAUUCUCAUUUGGAAAAUUCAAUAAAUUUGAUGCCACAAGUUUUAGUUGCAGUGUGGACUCUAUUUCAAUGCUUAGAAAACAUAGGAAAGAUUAGGAGUCUUAUGGUUGUGGCAAUGUCACAAUGGUUGGCUCUUAGAUAACUCUAGCCCUCUUUUAGUCUAUUAAAAAAUGGAGGCUAGAAUCUGUCAGAGUUUAGGUAUUCUUAGAUGCUCAGGGAGCCUUUGUGAUCAUUCUGAUGACCUAUCUUUCCUUUCUUUUGUUUUUUUUCCUUCUCUUUUGGUACUUGUUUCAGAUUUAGUGAGUACUAUUGAGUAUCUAAAAAUUUGCUGCCCAUCUACCACUGGCAAUUACUCUGACAUCACUGUAGGAUUUUGUGGAGCAUCAUCAGAUGAAAAAUAGUAUGUCUGUGCCACCAUGUGCUCCAAAUUGUUACAACUCGUGCUUAAAUAUAAAACUUAUUGCAAAUGUUUCAACUAUAAACACGCGCGCGCACAUUUUAUUUGGUACACUGUUGUUUUAUCUUUAUUUUGUAAUUAAUCUUGUAACGAAAAAUUGACUUUCGUAUCUUAUGUUAAUCAUAGCUGUCUUCUUUUAUAAAAUGAAAGAAGGUAUAGAAAUGAAUGUUGGAGUCGAAGAUAAAAUGCCAUUACCUAGUAUUGAUCCUGUAACGCAGAUACUGAGAAGGAAAGGCUAGAUGCUAUGCUUACAUAUUUCAAUGGAUUUGUCUAACUUUGUUAUUAAGAUAAGAUUGAGAAACUAGCCUGUUUGGAUCAGAGUGCAAUGAUCUGCAUUAUCAAUUCUAGUCUACAAAAGAAUUCUAUAGUUUCCAUGUCUAGCAACCUACUUUUUUAUUUGUACAAGUUCCUCUGGUUUCCAAUUUCAUCAAAAUUAAAGCGUUCAUUUAGCAGUGCUGUCCAGACUGAAGCUUGUCAUUUGAAUGAAAAGGGCAAAAAAAAUUGUUCCUGAAGCUUGAGCUUGGCUCAUUUUGUUUGUACAAAACGAAUUUUGAGUUCAAACUCUAGCUUGAGUUUGGCUCCUUUGUACUUGACAAUAAAAAAUGAACUCAUUUCUUAUCGUGCUGCAGAGACAAACUUUUUAAAAU